rnacentral:rRNA from 1 species
UCGGAUUGUAGUCUGCAACCCGAACUACAUGAAGCUGGAAUCGCUAGUAAUCGCGGAUCAGAAUGCCGCGGUGAAUACGUUCCCGGGUCUUGUACACACCGCCCGUCACACCAUGGGAGGUCGGAAAUGCCCGAAGUCUGUGACCCAACCUUAGGGAGGGAGCAGCCGAAGGCAGGUCGGAUGACUGGGGUGAAGUCGUAACAAGGUACC